AUUGAACGCUAGCGGCAUGCCUUACACAUGCAAGUCGAACGGCAGCACGGGAGCAAUCCUGGUGGCGAGUGGCGAACGGGUGAGUAAUAUAUCGGAACGUGCCCAGUCUGGGGGGAUAACGUAGCGAAAGCUACGCUAAUACCGCAUACGAUCUAUGGAUGAAANCGGGGGAUCGCAAGACCUCGCGCGAUUGGAGCGGCCGAUAUCAGAUUAGGUAGUUGGUGAGGUAAAGGCUCACCAAGCCGACGAUCUGUAGCUGGUCUGAGAGGACGACCAGCCACACUGGGACUGAGACACGGCCCAGACUCCUACGGGAGGCAGCAGUGGGGAAUUUUGGACAAUGGGCGCAAGCCUGAUCCAGCAAUGCCGCGUGCAGGAUGAAGGCCUUCGGGUUGUAAACUGCUUUUGUACGGAACGAAACGGUGAGCUCUAAUACAGUUUGCUAAUGACGGUACCGUAAGAAUAAGCACCGGCUAACUACGUG
rnacentral:rRNA from 1 species